AUAUAAUAAUGCUGAUGUGGUGUCAUGUCCUCUGAUUUCUGUGUGAGACAAACGCACUCAUAUUUCUGCUACAUGGGAAACUUUAAGGUUAGGGUGCAUACAUACUCUGCUUUAAAUAAACAGCAGGAGAUUGAGCACCAGUGACUUGACACCUACAGCUGACAAAGCUGCAAGCAGGGUUCAUACCUGCGCAAGAAAACCCCGCUGGAUUUAGAGUCCGACGCCUCAAAGUGAUUUAAGGAAACACUAGGCUAUUCUACUGGAGCGGACGGACGUGUUUGUCCGUGUUAGACCCUUCUUCAACAACAACUUCUCAGUCUCGUUUAUAUUCUCAGGUUUCCGCACGUGGACGCCCUCUUCAGUACGUUCACUUCAGUCAAGUAAUUAGUAAUUAAUCUGAAUUAAUUAAUCAUCUGAAUAGAGUUCCCUCUGCAUUACGACGCAGUUUCAUAACAGGCUUCAAGUUGCACAGGUGAAACCCCAGUGUAGUUCAAGUCCAGUGCCCUUUUCUCUCUGCAGUCGGCAAGAUAGUGCACACGAGUUAGUUGACACAGACCGCUGACAUGCCUUGAGCAGGCUUCAAGUUGCGUAGGGGAGACCCCAGUGCAUUCCAAGUCCAGUGCCAUGUUCUCUUGGCCAUCAGAGGAAGGGAGCAUGAGACAAGACUUAAGUGCAUUUCCUUGGUUCAUUUAUGUUCUGAUGGUUUAUGUUUUGAUCGUUUCAAUGUGCCAACCUUCUUUACCAGCCGUAAUCACGAUGGAGAAUGAGACAAGGCUUAAGAGUGACUCCAAGGCUCAUUUACGUUUUGAUCGCGCAUGGUUGCAAGUUUCCAAAGUGUCAUGGGUCUUUUCAAAUGGCUUCAUGUUUCAAUUAUAAUGAAGCAUUUGUUCAAACAAAAAUGUUUGCAGUCCUUUAAGGAUCAUUGUAACUGAUGAUGUUGUUGUUGUUAUUAUUAUUAUUAUUAUUAUUAUUAUUAAUAAUAAUAAUAAUGCUAAUGCUGAUGUGGUGUCCUGUCCUCUGAUUUGUGUGUGUGAGAGAAACACACUCACAUUUCUGUUACAUGGUAAAGAGUAAGUGUGUUAUGGCUGUGUGUGUGUUUGAGGUCAGUCUUCUGAUACUUCAUCAUUUCUCUUCCAGUCUGCGUGUGUGUGUAAACUGACAGAGGAAAGCUGUAGAGUUCUGUCCUCAGUUCUCAGAUCAAACUCCUCCAGACUGAGAGAACUGAACCUGAGUGACAAUAACCUGCAGGAUUCAGGAGUGAAGCUGCUCUCUGCUGGACUGGAGAAUCCACACUGUACACUGGAGAUACUGAGGAUGUGGAACUGCAGGAUUACAGAUGAAGGUUGUGCUGCUCUGACUUCUGCUCUGAGGUCAAACUCCUCAUCACACCUGAGAGAACUGGAUCUGAAGAAUAAUAAUCCAGGAGAAUCAGCAGUGAAGCUGCUCUCUGAUCUACUGAAGGAUCCACACUGUAACCUGGAGACACUACACAUUAAGGGUAAUAAACUCACCAGGACUGGCGUAUGACAGGAGUCUCACCUCAAACCUCUUCUCCAGGAUAACGCAGUCUUGGUGAAGAGUUAGAACCCGUCCCACAUUUCCAGCAGUUUGGGAGCUGAAUCAUUAAACUUAAAGGGGCAGAGCAGAAACAAAGUCAAGAACAGGGAGAAGGUCGUACACAGGAGAAAUCAACACACGUAACCAAAUAUCUGCUGCACAAAGCAACGGCACCGAUCUGCCCCGGGGAUGGAGACUGACGAGGCUUAAGUACACGUCCGGAAAUGUACAGCCAACCCAUCCCAAAGCACGAGGCGGGAGCAGGCGUGUACGAGAUGUGAUCGUCCAAUGGCCAGCAGGAACAUGACGCGUCGCAGUGGACUGGGCUUAAAAGAGGAGGAGACAAGACACCCAUCCCUCCCCCGACAUAGACAGAUGGAACAUAGUACAAACAGAAAUACAACUGAGGACGUAACAAUGGUCAAGUAUCAAAUAAAAUGUAAACUUGCA